AUGCCUACAUAUGUACACAUCUGUAUACAUGCACAUGCACACACACAUAUAUAUAUAGAGUACAAAUAUAUAUGAGGAAAAAAAAUAUAUAAAUUCGUUGUUGUCUGGUUAAUUAUUUGCUUGCUACCUCUGCCUUAUCCUUCUACUAUUCUUCCCUUCCCUCCCCUCCGACGGCCCCGCCUUUUUCUUAUCCUUUCACCUUCUUCAAGCGGAGUGCUGCGUCGUGUCGGUUGUCUUCCCGCAUCGUUUUCCUCUACGCAUGCGACGUUCUUUUAUCUUCUCGCGCGCUCUCCCGCUUGAAGCAAAGCAGAGCAAACACACGAAUGUGUAAGCGUGCAUCCUUCACUAAACCUGUUUCCUCCCUACUCAGAAGUCUGUUCUGUGUGUGCGUGUGUGUCUGUGCUGGAGUUAGUGUUUUGUUGGACUCUCCCCUAUGUCUGUGUUUCUGCGCCGUAAUGUGCAAUGUAUGUGUUUGCGUGCGUGUCGUUCAACGCGCAUGCUCCCUCCCCCUCCCUUCCCCCUCCCUUCCCCCUCCCUUCCCCCUCCCUCCCCCUCCCUUCCCCCUCCCUCCCCCUCCCUUCCCCCUCCCUUCCCCUCCCUUCCCCCUCCCUCCCCCUCCCUCCCCCUCCCUUCCCCCUCCCCCUCCUCCUUCUAUAGUGCUUGCCGACACUUUGGUUUCAUGUCAUCCUGUGGGAUGAAUGCUCACUUGUGUCGGGUUGUGUCUGUGGAUGUCUGCGCAGGUGUGUGAAGAAGGAACGCAAGCUCGCGGUGUCAUCGUCGCUGCCUGUCUUUCUCCUCUCUUUUCUCAUCGCUUUUAUAUGAUUAUAUACGCUAUGCAGUGCCCCUACCUAGAGAUGGUCUCUUGGUAAUGGAGAGAGGGGGCGGGGGCGAUUCCUUCUGAGCGUCACAGAAUAUGCUGGGAACGCUCCCUCCGAGAAUGUAAGGAGGCGGCGAAAAAGAUUUUGCAGGUGGCAGUGUUUUUUCUCGAUGGGCGUCUCUCUCUCUCUCUGUGCUUCAUGCCCCACCGAUGGGUGCCUUCUCAU
rnacentral:misc_RNA from 1 species